rnacentral:rRNA from 1 species
AACGAACGCUGGCGGCGUGGAUAAGACAUGCAAGUCGAGCGCUGAUUUCAGGGUAGCAAUAUUCUGAAGUUGGAGCGGCGCAAGGGUGCGUAACACGUGGGUAAUCUGCCGUGAAGUUGGGGAUAACUCGCUGAAAGGCGAGCUAAUACCGAAUGUGAAAAUCGAAAGGCAUCUUUUGAUUUUUAAAGUUGGGGAUCGUAAGACCUGACGCUUCAUGAUGAACCCGCGGCCUAUCAGCUAGUUGGUGAGGUAACGGCUCACCAAGGCUAAGACGGGUAGCUGGUCUGAGAGGACGACCAGCCACACUGGAACUGAGACACGGUCCAGACACCUACGGGUGGCAGCAGUCGAGAAUUUUUCACAAUGGGCGAAAGCCUGAUGGAGCGACGCCGCGUGGGGAUGAUGGCUUCGCCCGUAACCCCUGUCAUUGCGAACAACCUUAACCGGUUAACGAACCGGUGAGCUGAUUGUAGCGGAAGAGGAAGGGACGGCUAACUC